AUUGAACGCUGGCGGCAGGCCUAACACAUGCAAGUCGAACGGUAGCACAGGAGAGCUUGCUCUCUGGUGACGAGUGGCGGACGGGUGAGUAAUGCAUGGGGAGCUGCCCAAUCGAGGGGGAUACCAGCUGGAAACGGCUGCUAAUACCGCAUACGCCCUGAGGGGGAAAGGUGGGGACCUUCGGGCCUACCGCGAUUGGAUGCACCCAUGUGGGAUUAGCUAGUUGGUGAGGUAACGGCUCACCAAGGCGACGAUCUCUAGCUGGUCUGAGAGGAUGACCAGCCACACUGGAACUGAGACACGGUCCAGACUCCGACGGGAGGCAGCAGUGGGGAAUAUUGCACAAUGGGGGAAACCCUGAUGCAGCCAUGCCGCGUGUGUGAAGAAGGCCUUCGGGUUGUAAAGCACUUUCAGUGGGGAGGAAGGGGCGAUGCCUAAUACGCAUUGUCAUUGACGUUACCCACAGAAGAAGCACCGGCUAACCCCGUGCCAGCCGCCGCCGUAAAAC
rnacentral:rRNA from 1 species